rnacentral:rRNA from 1 species
GAUGAACGCUGGCGGCGUGCCUAAUACAUGCAAGUCGAGCGAACAGAUAAGGAGCUUGCUCCUUUGACGUUAGCGGCGGACGGGUGAGUUACACGUGGAUAACCUACCUAUAAGACUGGGAUAACUUCGGGAAACCGGAGCUAAUACCGGAUAACAUAUUGAACCUCAUGGUUCAAUAGUGAAAUGCGGCUUUUCUGUCACGUAUAGAUGGAUCCGCGCCGUAUUAGCUAGUUGGUAAGGUAACGGCUUACCAAGGCAACGAUACGUAGCCGACCUGAGAGGGUGAUCGGCCACACUGGAACUGAGACACGGUCCAGACUCCUACGGGAGGCAGCAGUAGGGAAUCUUCCGCAAUGGGCGAAAGCCUGACGGAGCAACGCCGCGUGAGUGAUGAAGGUCUUCGGAUCGUAAAACUCUGUUAUCAGGGAAGAACAAAUGUGUAAGUAACUGUGCACAUCUUGACGGUACCUGAUCAGAAAGCCACGGCUAACUACGUG